AUUGAACGCUAGCGGGAUGCCUUACACAUGCAAGUCGAACGGAGUGGCGAACGGGUGAGUAAUGUAUCGGAACGUGCCCAGUAGCGGGGGAUAACUACGCGAAAGGGGCGCUAAUACCGCAUACUAUCGGAGCGGCCGAGAUCGGAUUAGCUAGUUGGUGGGGUAACGGCUAACCAAGGCGACGAUCCGUAGCUGGUCUGAGAGGAUGACCAGCCACACUGGAACUGAGACACGGCCCAGACUCCGACGGGAGGCAGCAGUGGGGAAUGUUGGACAAUGGGCGAAACCCUGAUCCAGCCAUGCCGCGUGUGCGAAGAAGGCCUUCGGGUUGUAAAGCACUUUUGGUAGGGAAGCGUUACCUACAGAAUAAGCACCGGCUAACUACGUGCCAGCAGCCGCGGUAAUAC
rnacentral:rRNA from 1 species